AUGGCGGCGGAGGGAAAUUCUGACGUUCAAAACAUUGUGUAUUUUGUGGAAUCGUCUGACAACCCCUUUGACAAUGUCGGAAAGGAAAUUACAGAAGAAAAUUGGAUGGCAUGGAGCGAGACUGGAGGUUUAGUGGAAGUUCAUUAUGAUGAAACAGAACAUACCACAGAUGAAGUGUCAACCAACCUGGACCUGCUGGCCUCCCUGUCUAUGUCUGAAGAGGCUGUCCCUAGUACAUCACGUAUAAUGGAGGUUUCAUCAGAGUCUGGCAGUAAGACUGUUGAACUCAUCAUUCCACCUGCCACUGUAUUGAACGAAAGUCAGCCUUUACCAUCUCAGAAACUGCCACCUAAUGACUUGGUAAUGCUGUAUUUAUCAGGUAAAAUCAGCUUCCUUGAAUUCAGUGAAAUGGUUAAUACUUCAAAAGAUAAAGAUGAAGUAGAAAAAGACGAUGACGUUGAUGAUGGUGAUGAAUAUGAUGAAGAUGAUGAUGAAGAUGAAAUGGAGGAUGACAAAAACAUCGACCCUGACUACCAACCAAACAGAAAUUCUCUACAGUCUGGCAAAAGAGUAGAAGAAAGUCAAACAUCUGAUGACUCAGCAUCGCCUGUGAAAAAAAAGAGAAAAUAUGUGAAAAGAAAUUCCAAGAGGUUGAUACCCAAACACCUGAAAGGCUUGAUGGGAGAAGCCAAUCUAAAAUUUGCUCGAGGGGAAAAUGAAGAAGCUAUUCAGAUUUGUAUGGAUAUCAUCAAAGAAGCCCCCAGAGCAGUCCUGCCAUUCCAGACACUGGCUGUGAUCUAUGAGACCACCGGAGACAUGCAGAAAGCUUUGGAGUUCCACACUUUGGCUGCAUACCUGAAUCCUAAAGACUCUGAGCAGUGGGGACGUUUAGCAGAGAUGUUUCUGGACCAGAAUCAGACUUCACAAGCUGUGGUAGCAUAUUCUCAAGCAAUACGACAUGAUCCCAAAAACCCCCAGUACAUAAUGGAGAGGAUUAAGUUGUAUGAAGAACUCGGAGAGACCAAGAAAGUUAUGGAAGGAUACCGGGCCAUGCUUAAUGUCAUUCCCACAGAGGAGGGAGACCAGUAUAUAGAGUUGGCGAGGAACCUCUCCAUGCAAUAUUUCAAUAUUGGUGACAAACAAAAUGCCAUAAAAAUUAUGAAGGGAGCAUUUCAGAUUCAUCCUGACAAAGUGACAUCAGAAGAUGUGAACUUGCUGUUAGAGCUACUGAUUGCAGAGAAACUGUUUUUGGAAUGUGUUGAGAUGUUGGUGAAGCACUGUGGAGUGUCACUCAUAUUCAACAACAAAAUGGUGUGGGAGAAGAAUCGUAUUGAUGCUGUUGAUGCUGAGGCUCUGUUAGAUGGACGACUAGCUAUAGAAACCUGUAAAAUCCCUGAGCUGCUGCCAAUAGACCUUGGUGUGAAGUUGUCUGUGUGUAUGAUUCACCAGCAUCAGAAGGCUAUCGUAUCACCCAUCAUCAGUCAGCUGACCGCGGAGAGUAUUGACGAUAUGGGGGACCUGUAUAUUGACAUAGCUGAAGCCCUUAUAGAGUCUCGUUACUAUAAAGAUGCCAAACCUCUGCUGGUGAAGUUGGUGAAGUCUACACGUUAUCACACUGCUGCAGCUGUAUGGUUAAAGAUGGCAGAGUGUCUCAACAACCUUGGUGAGUUGGAGGAAGCUGUGAAGGCCUACGGUAAUGUAGUAGAGAUGGCUCCACAACACGUAGGGGCCAGGAUGGCCCUUUCCUCUCUCAAUCAACAGUUAGGGAAACAUGAGGAGGCUAUCAUGGCCUUGUCUCAAGAUGAUGUCGGUGAAGCAAUCAUGUCCAAACAGGAGCAGAUCCUUUUACUACAAAAGUGUCACCUUUUACACUCUCAAAGUCGACACGAUGAAUUUAUCCUUGCCUGCAAGCAGUUGCUCUUUCACCAGUUCAAGGACAUAACUAAAGCCUCAUUCUUGAAAGUCGUCUUUACAUACAAAACACCCAAACACAAAAAGGAAGAUGUGAUGAAACACCUAAAGGAGGGAUGUCAAGUUCAGGCAGAUCGUAAUGGGAUAUACAAAACUGAUUUACCAGUUGAUGAUCUGUGGGAUUUAUUUGUCAAGCUGUGUGACUUAUUGAUGGAUCUUGAAAAGUACACUGAACUGAUGGAAGUGACUGGGAUAGCGAUGUCCUGUCCAUUCUUCAUGGCAGAUCCAAGGAAACUAAAGCAAGCUGAAUUCAUGUGUUUGGUGGCAUGUAUCAUGACCAAAAAUGGACUGAUGGCCUUCACAUUUGUUCGUGAGAUGUGUCAGAAGGAGGGAGAUAAGAAUCAGGUUUGGAACCUCCUCAACCAGGUGAUGACCUUAUCUACAGAAAACAAGUACAACAAGUUCUGUCUACGCUACCUCCUGUCUCAUCCAGACCAUCCACCUAUCUGUUUAUUGAACGGGCACAAUGCAACAUUAUCAGGGACAUACAAGUAUGCUUUAGGGGAGUAUGUGUCAGUUCUGCGGACUUGCCCUAAAGAACCUUUGGUGAGCCUGUGUAUUGGACUCACCUUCAUACAUCUAGCUGCCCAAAAGUUUUCUGCUAAAAAGCAUUUUCUUCUGACUCAGGGCCUGGUGUUUCUACACAACUAUGCAGAGUUACGAGGAGACUGCCAGGAAUCUAACUUCAAUAUUGGAAGAGCUCUCCAUCAGUUAGGGCUGACCUAUGCUGCCAUUCAUUACUACAGAAAAGUUCUGGAUAUGAAACCAGUCUUGGAACAUCCUGAUGGUAUCUUGGAUCUGACCUAUGAGGCUGCCUAUAACCUAUCACUGAUCUACCAAACCAGUAAUUCCUAUGACCUGGCCGCCCUCCUCAUCAACAAGUACCUUGUGAUAUGACGUCUCAGCAGCCAGCUCCAACAAGCUGUUGCAUGACAGACUAGGUUUCUGUGAUAUUCUGCAGGGAAAAUCACUUUAGUAGCUCAGUACAGGAAUUAUAUGCUCAAGGCAGAGCUGAUGACCGAGACAAAUUGCUGGAAUUUACAGUGACGAAACCAAGGAAACCAGAUUUCAGAGAUGAAGAAAGUCAUUGUGAUGUUUUAACUCUGUGUUCAGUAAACCUUGGUGGUACCUACUGUUAAUGUCCAACUACAUGGACUCACUGCAUGUAGGAUACAUUGGUUAGACCAGUCAUUGGGCCACCAAAUAUCAGAGUAAUGAUGAACUUGUGUGGAGUAGGAUCCUGGUGAUAAGGCUGGGUCAGUAGACACGGUACCUUAGUCAAUAACGGUCGCAAGUGUUUCGUUACUCUGAUUAUGAAUGCCGGUCUCCCAGGUGAGACAUUUGUGAUAAGAACCAUGUAUGGUAAUCCACUGGGCAUCAUUAUCAACAAUACAGAUGAAAGGAUGUAUGCAUUACAAGACUGCCAUUUUUACAUGGAUCAAGACACAUGUUAUAUAAAUCCUCACCUGUAAGUGCCAUGAUUGACUUUGCUCCAAUGGAAAACACAACAUCUGCAAAAUGUGGAUCUUUGCUGAUGGAAACCUUGAAAAAGGACAUGGUUACCUCCCCUGACUUGGAAAUCUCCACAGUGCAUCCUACCAAAGAUGCCAAUGAUGCACUGUUUUACAUCAUUACCGUGCUGCUGUUUUAUGCAUGUAGCAUAGUGAUUCUCAUGGUGAAGUACAUACGACGAGAGAGACAGGAAGCAGAGUUCAGGAGUUAUUACCAUGACUACGUCAUACGGGACCAAUUCCGCCAGCCCCAGUAUCAGAAUUUGGCGUAUAUGUGCCACUUAAUGAAACUACCUUCAAAGGGUUGCAGUAAAAUAUCUCCGAAUUUUAAAAUGCUUUCAAAAGAAAAUCAUAACCAAGGUUAUAUUGAUAAUUCAGAAGUGAAAGAAAAGUUAUUUAAUGAAACUCCAGUUUAGAAUUACGUACAGAAAAGAGACAUGACUUGCAUAUGUUCUAUAUCACAUUUACACCCAAGUUUCUAUUGCUGUUGUGGUCUGUGAUGCAAACAGACAAGAAGGUAUUUUUUCAUUAAAACACUUAAGAUUGCAGUCAUUAUGCAUGUGCAUAUGUGAUAUCUAUUUUUGGGUCAGUGUUGUCUUGUAUGUGCUGAAAACUCGAAAUAAAAAUCCUACAUUAA